UACGUAGGGAGCAAGCGUUGUCCGGAUUUAUUGGGCGUAAAGAGCGUGUAGGCGGCCAGGUAGGUCUGCUGUGAAAACUCGAGGCUCAACCUCGAGCUGUCGAUGGAAACCAUCUGGCUAGAGUCCGGAAGAGGAGAGUGGAAUUCCUGGUGUAGCGGUGAAAUGCGCAGAUAUCAGGAAGAACACCCGUGGCGAAGGCGGCUCUCUGGUACGUGACUGACGCUGAGACGCGAAAGCGUGGGGAGCGAACAGG
rnacentral:rRNA from 1 species